rnacentral:tRNA from 1 species
GCCGAAAUAGCUCAGUUGGGGAGGAAGAGCGUUAGACUGAAGAUCUAAGGUCCCUGGUUCAAUCGGGUUUUCGGCU